GGGCAAUCUGCCCUGCACUCUGGGACAAGCCCUGGAAACGGGGUCUAAUACCGGAUAUUGAUCUUCACGGGCAUCUGUGAGGUUCGAAAGCUCCGGCGGUGCAGGAUGAGCCCGCGGCCUAUCAGCUUGUUGGUGAGGUAAUGGCUCACCAAGGCGACGACGGGUAGCCGGCCUGAGAGGGCGACCGGCCACACUGGGACUGAGACACGGCCCAGACUCCUACGGGAGGCAGCAGUGGGGAAUAUUGCACAAUGGGCGAAAGCCUGAUGCAGCGACGCCGCGUGAGGGAUGACGGCCUUCGGGUUGUAAACCUCUUUCAGCAGGGAAGAAGCGAAAGUGACGGUACCUGCAGAAGAAGCGCCGGCUAACUACGUGCCAGCAGCCGCGGUAAUACGUAGGGCGCAAGCGUUGUCCGGAAUUAUUGGGCGUAAAGAGCUCGUAGGCGGCUUGUCACGUCGGUUGUGAAAGCCCGGGGCUUAACCCCGGGUCUGCAGUCGAU
rnacentral:rRNA from 1 species